rnacentral:lncRNA from 1 species
GCCUCACCUGCCCAGCUCUGCGCAGAGCCUCCGUGGGCCCUGCCGAGGCCUGCCUCCCAGGCCGCCCGCCCGCCUCCGUCUGCUGCCUGCCCUCCCCCGCCCCGUCUGAUCCGCUGUCAUGUUCCUUGUCCCCGAGCUGCUGCCCGCUGUGACUACAAGCCAAGAGUCAUCCUGCAGCUAAAGCGUCUCCAUCCUCCGACCCACGGGGCUGGCUCCUGGGCGGGGGGCAUCUUGAAAGCUGAGCAGCUGGCCUCGGAAGGCCACAGAGGCUGCCCACGGGCACAGCCCUCGGCACAGUCAACAGCUGGGAAGGAGCUGGCCUCCGUGUCCCCCCACUUUUUUCUUUUGCUACUGGGGACUGAGCCCGCGGAGCCGCACCCCAGCCCUGUUCUGUAUUUUAGGGACAGGGUCUCACCGAGUCGCUGGGCGCUGUCACUGAGGCUGGCUCUGAACCCCCAUCCUCCUGUCUCAGCCUCCCGAGCUGCUGGGACUGCAGGCGUGUCCCCCACACCCAGCCCCCCCCCCUCUUCAUCACAGGAAGGAACUGAGGCCCAGUGAGCAGCUGGACCCAAGGGACAGCGUGGCACCGUGCGUGAGAAUGCGGAGCCCCUGCCUGGACCCGAAUCCCAGCUCCUCCGUUCCUGUCUGUGUGGCCUCAGGCAGAUGACUCGAGGUCUCUGGGCCGGUUUCCCUACUGGGGAGAACGUGGCCUCUACCCCUCAGGCUGGCCGUCCCACCACGGCCAGGCCCCUGCACCACCUCUGCCAUCGCCCAUCCCACUGGGUCCGGGCCUGCUGCGGCUGUGGGUGCAGCGUGGCUGUCUGCAGGCCCCCCAGGGAGGGUGCCUGAGGCCUGGCAACAGUGGACACAGCCCAGGUCCCCCUGGAGCCCUUGGUCACCCACGCUGCCCAUGACAGGCCCCGGCUCUCCUCGGCCCCCACGUCCUGGAGCCCAGGCUCAGGGACAGGAAAGGCCAGGCAGAGCUGGGGAGCCGGGCACAGGGCGCCUCCGCUGCCCGCAGGUGUCCAGGGCGCUGCAACUGCUGCCCGUCUGCAUUAGGACCAAGCGAGGACGCGGGGCGGGCAGGGGAACCCAGGGUGGGGGCCGGGCGGGGACCUCCAGGUGGAGCAGCGCAGAGGAGACGGCCUGGGGCCUCAGGGGGCCAUGGUGUCCAGCCCGGGAUCCAGCGCAUGUCGGGUCACUCAGACAGCUGAGGAGAGGCCCAGGGACAGUGAGGACACCGAGGCGCAGCCGCCCACAGGCAGCCGGCCGGGAGCCUCAGUCCUGCGUCCUCAUCACACCAGCAGGGCACCACGGGGACUGGCCCAGAGACCCGGGGGCGCCACCAUGGCCUUGGGGCACUCAGUCAGCGAGGAGACUUCAGCACUCGGUGACCACACAGCACUGACCUGUGCUGCCGGCAAGAGGCCAGCCCUCGGGGGGCAAGGCCAGGCUGGUGGCCCAGAGCAGCUCAGGUCAUGACAGAAAACGGCCACAAGACCUCCUUGGCCACAGACCGCCUGGGCCACCAGCCUCCCGCCCAGGGCCCGCUGCAUGGCGUCCAGCAGCCUGGGUCCCACAAGCACCUGGCCAGCCUUCAUGCACCCAGGGAAACUUGGGGACCGUCCUCCCCACGUAAGGACAAGGAUGGUGGAGCCGCGCUGGCCCUGCUGUCGGCGGGUGGAGGGUGUGCUUCCUGAGCUUCUGGACGGUUCCUGCGGAGUCCACCUGCAGGCCCGGGCAGCAGGCCCUGGCCCCUCUGCAGCCUGGUCCUCCCAGGGGGGGUCUGACCCUGGAUUCGGAGCUAAUAACCCUGCCCUGGCCACCGGCUCAGCCCAAGGGACCUGCCUGUCACCCCGUCCUUCCGCCUGGCUUGUAAGACAAUGGCCCAGACCCUGUCCUCAGGGGGCUCUGGCCCACGGGAAGCGCUAGGGUGAGCAAGGAGACGAGAGGGUGGCACUCUGCAAGUGACAAGAAUGGCGUGGGAGACCGCAGUCCCCAACAAGAGGUCAUGGGGCCCGGGGGGUGUGCAGGGCGCCCUCAGCCAGCCUUGGCCCUCGCUGGCGGACUGAGCUCGGGUUCAGCAAGAGCCGCGCUGGGCCCCGGGGGCUGGGGGAGGCCAGGGGAGGCCGGGGUGCAGCCUCCUGCCCGCCACACCUGGGGCACGGAGCAGCUCUCCCCAGGGGCCAGUCCAGAGGCUGCGCGCCCACCGUCCCCUGGAGCCUCAGCACCAGCCGCCAGCUCUGCACACAGGGAGCCCAGGAGCAGGCUCGGGUCCCCACGGAGGACGGAGGACAACGGAGCCCGGGACGGAGAGAAGGCGCGCAGCAGCAGUUCCCAGAACCCCCGCGUGCUGGCCACCUCAUGGAGCAAGUGGGAGGCAUGGCCGGGCAGGGAGGACACCAGGCCAGGCAGGGAGGACACCAGCCGGGCACGGAGGACAGCAGGGGGACAGGGAGGACACCAGGGGGACAGGGAGGACAGCAGACCAGGCAGGGAGGACACCAGGGGGACAGGGCUACUCACUUCCCAGGGCUUCUUGCUGGCAGGAGGCGGCUGGAGGGGAGGAGGCCACCCGGUCGGUGGGACAGCGCUCCCGGGCCUCCGCCUCCCGCCCCGCCCACGCUGGCACCUUCCAGGCGCCAGCCACAGUGCCACACCCGCCCCGUGGAUGUCCCAGGCCCGCCAGCCUGCACCGCAGACCCUCCGCAUCCUCGAGAUCCUCGGUGAGAUCACCCAGAACAGGGCCACCCGACCACGCGGCCAGCCCAGGCGGGGGCCUGCAGACCCGCACCCAGGCGGCCCAGCGCCCACGUGGGGCCCAGGGCGGCAGGGGCCACUGCGGCUGUGCCCGUGCUCAGCAGCAAGGAGCUGGGCAGAGGGGGCAUCCGCGCCUGCAGGAGGGUGGCCCUGGCCUCAGCAGGGCCCAGGCAGGCGGCCUCAGGGCCUCCUCUGCAGAGGUCUCCGUCCUCACCUUCCUGCGGGGCGGGCGUGAGGUCAGGAGGAGCCCAGAUCACAG